rnacentral:rRNA from 1 species
UACGAAGGGGGCUAGCGUUGCUCGGAAUCACUGGGCGUAAAGCGCACGUAGGCGGCCAUUUAAGUCGGGGGUGAAAGCCUGUGGCUCAACCACAGAAUUGCCUUCGAUACUGGAUGGCUUGAGACCGGAAGAGGUAAGUGGAACUGCGAGUGUAGAGGUGAAAUUCGUAGAUAUUCGCAAGAACACCAGUGGCGAAGGCGGCUUACUGGUCCGGAUCUGACGCUGAGGCGCGAAAGCGUGGGGAGCAAACAGG